AUUGAACGCUGGCGGCAUGCUUUAUACAUGCAAGUCGAACGGUAACAGGCCGCAAGGUGCUGACGAGUGGCGAAAGGGUGAGUAAUGCAUCGGAACGUGCCCAGUCGUGGGGGAUAACGCAGCGAAAGCUGCGCUAAUACCGCAUACGAUCUGUGGAUGAAAGCGGGGGACCGUAAGGCCUCGCGCGAUUGGAGCGGCCGAUGUCAGAUUAGGUAGUUGGUGGGGUAAAGGCUCACCAAGCCAACGAUCUGUAGCUGGUCUGAGAGGACGACCAGCCACACUGGGACUGAGACACGGCCCAGACUCCUACGGGAGGCAGCAGUGGGGAAUUUUGGACAAUGGGCGCAAGCCUGAUCCAGCAAUGCCGCGUGCAGGAAGAAGGCCUUCGGGUUGUAAACUGCUUCUGUACGGAACGAAAAGGCUCUGGAUAAUACCUGGGGCUCAUGACGGUACCGUAAGAAUAAGCACCGGCUAACUACGUGCCAGCCGCCGCAGUAAGAC
rnacentral:rRNA from 1 species